rnacentral:rRNA from 1 species
GAAUUCGCCCUUAGAGUUUGAUCCUGGCUCAGGACGAACGCUGGCGGCGUGCCUAACACAUGCAAGUCGAGCGAAUGAAAUUCCUUCGGGAACGGAUUUAGCGGCGGACGGGUGAGUAACACGUGGGCAACCUGCCUCAUAGAGGGGAAUAGCCUUCCGAAAGGGAGAUUAAUACCGCAUAAGAUUGUAGUACCGCAUGGUACAGCAAUUAAAGGAGCAAUCCGCUAUGAGAUGGGCCCGCGGCGCAUUAGCUAGUUGGUGAGGUAACGGCUCACCAAGGCGACGAUGCGUAGCCGACCUGAGAGGGUGAUCGGCCACAUUGGGACUGAGACACGGCCCAGACUCCUACGGGAGGCAGCAGUGGGGAAUAUUGCACAAUGGGGGAAACCCUGAUGCAGCAACGCCGCGUGAGUGAUGACGGCCUUCGGGUUGUAAAGCUCUGUCUUCAGGGACGAUAAUGACGGUACCUGAGGAGGAAGCCACGGCUAACUACGUGCCAGCAGCCGCGGUAAUACGUAGGUGGCGAGCGUUGUCCGGAUUUACUGGGCGUAAAGGGGGCGUAGGCGGAUUUUUAAGUGAGAUGUGAAAUACUCGGGCUUAACCUGAGUGCUGCAUUUCAAACUGGAAGUCUAGAGUGCAGGAGAGGAGAAGGGAAUUCCUAGUGUAGCGGUGAAAUGCGUAGAGAUUAGGAAGAACACCAGUGGCGAAGGCGCUUCUCUGGACUGUAACUGACGCUGAGGCUCGAAAGCGUGGGGAGCAAACAAGAUUAGAUACCCUGGUAGUCCCCGCCGUAAACGAAGGAAUACUAGGUGUAGGGGUGGUCAUGACCUCUGUGCCGCCGCUAACGCAUUAAGUAUUCCGCCUGGGGAGUACGGUCGCAAGAUUAAAACUCAA